rnacentral:rRNA from 1 species
UACGGGGGGAGCAAGCGUUGUUCGGAUUUACUGGGCGUAAAGGGCGCGUAGGCGGCCACCGCAAGUCGGUUGUGAAAUCUCUGGGCUUAACCCAGAAAGGUCAACCGAUACUGGCAGGCUUGAAUCCGGGAGAGGGAUGUGGAAUUCCAGGUGUAGCGGUGAAAUGCGUAGAUAUCUGGAGGAACACCGGUGGCGAAGGCGGCAUCCUGGACCGGUAUUGACGCUGAUGCGCGAAAGCCAGGGGAGCAAACGGG